GACGAACGCUGGCGGCGUGCUUAACACAUGCAAGUCGAACGGAAAGGCCCUGCUUUUGUGGGGUGCUCGAGUGGCGAACGGGUGAGUAACACGUGAGUAACCUGCCCUUGACUUUGGGAUAACUUCAGGAAACUCGGGCUAAUACCGGAUAGGAGCUCCUGCUGCAUGGUGGGGGUUGGAAAGUUUCGGCGGUUGGGGAUGGACUCGCGGCUUAUCAGCUUGUUGGUGGGGUAGUGGCUUACCAAGGCUUUGACGGGUAGCCGGCCUGAGAGGGUGACCGGCGACAUUGGGACUGAGAUACGGCCCAGACUCCUACGGGAGGCAGCAGUGGGGAAUAUUGCACAAUGGGCGGAAGCCUGAUGCAGCAACGCCGCGUGCGGGAUGACGGCCUUCGGGUUGUAAACCGCUUUCGCCUGUGACGAAGCGUGAGUGACGGUAAUGGGUAAAGAAGCACCGGCUAACUACGUG
rnacentral:rRNA from 1 species